GUAAAUGACCUGUAUUUUGAGAGGUGGACAUGAGUUGCCUCAGAUCCAUGAAACCCAAGUUACAUGUGGCAAAAAGGUUGUAUCUUUUUAGGGUUUUUUCAUGUGAUUCUUGAUUAGUUGUCUGUUUUCUUCCCAUUACUAGGUUCUUUUCCAUGAUUCUUUCACUUUCACUUCUUCAAUUCAUGGAUAAGGGUUUGAUUUUGUCGUUUUCCCCAUUUUCU
rnacentral:misc_RNA from 1 species